rnacentral:rRNA from 1 species
UACGUAGGGCGCAAGCGUUGUCCGGAAUCAUUGGGCGUAAAGCGCGUGUAGGCGGCUCGAUCAGUCUGCUGUGAAAGUCCAGGGCUCAACCCUGGAAAGCCGGUGGAAACUGUCGGGCUAGAGUUCGGAAGAGGCGAGUGGAAUUCCUGGUGUAGCGGUGAAAUGCGCAGAUAUCAGGAGGAACACCAAUGGCGAAGGCAGCUCGCUGGGACGGUACUGACGCUGAGACGCGAAAGCGUGGGGAGCAAACAGG